rnacentral:lncRNA from 1 species
GCAUACCGCGUUAUAUAUUUCAUUACAUGGUAGCAUGAUAGCUCGAAAGAAAGCUAUGAAAUCACUUGAUAGCCUACAUUGGCUUUAUAAAGCAAGCUAUUUUAGUAGUGAUGCAUUGUAUAUAUAGAGUUGGUCUCUUAACCCCUAGCUGAGUCUUGUAUCUGAUGUCAACAGGAAACACAUGAAGGCUGGUGCUAUUAGGUAGAGCCAUCACUACAUUUUCCAUCAAUAUUGAACAUGAUUUCAUC